AAUUUAAUUUGAAGGGCCGCANNAUCAUGACUGUGCAAAGGUAGCNUAAUAAUUAGUUAAUUAAUUGUUAACUUGAAUGAAUGAUUUUUUGGAUUAUGCACUUUAUUUGUAUAAAUUUUUUAAUUUUGAUUUUUAGUGAAAAUACUUAAAUAAUUUAAUAAGACGAGAAGACCCUAUAGAUCUUUAAGUAAGAUAUUUAUAUUGAGAUAUUUUAUUAUUAGUUGGGGAGACUUUGGAAAAAUAAACUUUAACUUUCGUAAACAAUCAUGUUUGGAUUUUUUAAAUCUUUGUUUUUAAAAAUUUAUAUUUAGAUACCUUAGGGAUAACAGCGUUAUAUAUCUUUGGAGUUCUCAUUUUUGGAUAUGNUUGCGACCUCGAUGUUGAAUUAAAAUUUAAUCAAAUUANUANCAUAAUUGAUUUUUAGUCUGUUCGACUAUUAAAAUUU
rnacentral:rRNA from 1 species